rnacentral:lncRNA from 1 species
ACAUAAGAUGUGCAACGUCUAGCGACAGAAGAAAACCAAAUAAAGUUAUAGGUGUACAUCAACGAGGGAAAAAACUAUAUUUGCCAUGGAGGUCGUGGAAGGAGCCCAAUCUUUGUGCGAACCACUUUUCGGUGAGAUCUGUGUACAUGCAAGGCUAGAAAGCCAGAGAAAUGAGCUAGGAAUAGUUGGAGAAGACGAACUGACGUGGUGGAAGUUGGAUCGCACAAGGCCUCAUUUGUAGCAUUUUAGUAGUUUUUUUUAGUGCAUUUAAUUUGAUUCGUGCCUGAUCUGAGCAUGCAGUAUUUUUUGUGGUGUUUUCAAUAAUUUCUAGUGGU